ACGGCGCCAGACCGUCCACCGAACCUAGCCCAAGGUCAGAAACCCGCGCGUUCUGAAUGCUUCCGCUCUACUUUUAAAGUCUGCACACUUUUGCAUGUUUGGCACCCUGUUCAAAUGAGGGGAGACGGACAGGAGACGACGGAGAGAAAUAUGAAAAAUGGAGCAGUGCCCGUAGAGUAGCUCAUGGGCAGAAUGAAACACAAUCUCCAAUUUCACACACUUGAAGCAUGGGAGAAGGAUGACCACCUGCCCUUAAGUCUGCUGUUGGCUAUUUGUCCCGGCCGCCUGACACCUUGUUUGGCUUCGUUGUCACGCCAUAGAUCAGCGGCGAGGUGGGGCCGCGUGAGGGGCAGGGCCUGCAAAUAGGACGGUAAUUUGGGAGUCGGCGAACGCGGGUCCUCCCCCCGUGAUGGAUCACGCGGCCUUGCAUACCUGUCGCCUUAAAUCAGCCCCCACCACCAGCAGGUCCGGUUUGUCGACCCAAAGUGACAGAUGUCAGGACCGACCGCGCAUCCACAAAAAGCAACGCGGUCGCCUCCUCCAGAAAGUUCAGUCCAUGGGUGAUUUAAUCAGUGGGCAUGUGACUUAAUCUGCUGCUUGUGCGUCUAUAGUAGAGUAGAGUAAGAAAAGUGUGUGUGUGUGUGUGUGUGUGUGUGUGUGUGUGUGUGUGUGUGUGUGUGUGUGUGUGUGUGUGUGUGUGUGUGUGAGCAGCGUCUGCACGCUCACUUUCCCUUCCCUCGUCUCAUUUUUCUGCUCAGACGGUGUCAGGUCUCUGUGGCUUUGUCAGCAAUUACAGCACUUAGUCGAACAUCUCGCGUCUGUGUGCAGCGCGUACACACGAUAUGAACCGCAUGUAUUUAUGUACGCUGGCCCACAGUCAGUCAGCCUAACGCUGGCUGGACCCGGCUGCAGUUCUAGAGUCCACUCUGGAACGGUUCUGAAACCAGACUCUGAUGAUUUCCAGAUGGAGCCUGGACUCCAAUGAGGAGGAACAUUCACUGUGAUUCAUUUGGGAAGCGCGUCUCUGAGGCCGCGUUUCGGAGCUCUGACAGACGCCUCACAAGUCUUUACACACUGUCAGGUCCUAAAAUAAACAGAAAAUCACCCGCUGGUGGGUCCAACGUGUCUUAAAGUGGCACAUUUCAACACGAACCUCCCCGAUGAUCAGUCUGGCUUCAACUGUGCGCUGUGAUGAGAGCAGAGCUGUGGUUCGCGCCGACGCUUGUAGUCGUUGGCUGAUGCCUGAAGUUUUGGUGGUUUAAAGGAAACGACGUGAAAGGAAGGGAAUCUCUGUCAGGACUCGUCAUCGCUGUGUGAGACAAAAAUGUGGUCGUGGAGGGUUUUGAAUUGUUCUUGCGUGAUCUGUAUCUAAAUGUUUUUGUGACAGAAACAAAUGUUGGGGAAAGAAAAUAUUCAAUUCUGUGGUUUUAUCAUCGCAAAUGAAUAGAAUUGUAAUUGUAGCACAAUAGCGUUUCGAACCAUUUACCUCAGUCUAUAGAUGAUAAAAUGGGGUGAAUGUUGCUUCUGCGUCGUGCUUUUCGGGGGCAGGUUUGAACAGACCCUCAGUUUGUGGCAGGAUGACGGGGAUUUGUUUUCUCAUCUUGCAAACAUCCUAAGGCAUUUUUUUAAAAACAGAAACACAUUUGAUUUUGAUGCUAAAAGGUCCAAAUCAUUCCUUUUUGCUUUAACUUACAGUAGUUUUCACACGUACUCCAACUGAGACACUGUUUGUUACUGUACAGCAUCCCUGGAUAACUGGUAUGAAGUGCUCUACAACAUAAGAUGCUGACGCUGUGCUGUCUCUCUGAUAAGUAAACUGAUGUACUGAAACCACAUUAAUAAAAUAUCCAAUUUUCUGAGCACGUGUUCGUCUUCAAGCAGACUCAGCAGGUGCUUUAACUGGGUGUUGCUGGUGUGUGAUGGCGUAAAGGCUAAAUACUGUACACAUAAGCUGAUAUUACUGUAAUCAUGCAUAGUUUAAGUGACUGGAUAAUUUAGGGAAUCUUGUUACAUACAGUACUGACUGUCAGAUUUAUUAUUAUCUAUUAGUAUUUGAGUAUUUAAUUGAGUUUGGUCAUUUUGAAACAUCAGCUUUUGGACGUGAGAUGGAAUGUAAACAUGUUUCCUUUGUAGCUGUUGUCAUGACGAUGAGUAAACUGCAGAGCAUUCAGCCGGGAAGCCACCUGAUUUGUAUUAGUGUGCAGGGAGACGCGCCGAUGAAAGGAGAAGCAGCGUCCGCCUGCUGGAAGGCGGUGCGCGUGAGCGUACAUGGCACGCACGCACACGUGCUCUCACGCUCCGCUGUGACUCAUCAUGCCCGUCUAACGCUGCUCAGCCUAACAGCACACAGUGAAGGCUGCCGCGCAGCUUGUUAUCCGGCCCAACAGGAGAAAAGACCCACACAUGCACCGCAUUUACAAUUUCGGAGGCAGUCCGGUUCUAUCAUCAUAUCGUCCUAUGUGGAAAAGUGAAUUUUUAAAUAUGUUCUUAUGCAAGUGAUUUA